UGGACUUGGCCUACAUACAUAUCGCCUCAGUGGGCCGCGUAGCACCUAAUCAUCUCUCACUACACUUUUUCAGCCAGACUCGAGAGUCUCUCUAACUCCGACCAAUCUGUUGCGUUGUGUUGGAUCCAAAUUGUGCUUGUCUCCAUUUCCGCUCCCAAUCCCAAGUUUGUUCUGUUGGAUGAUCAUAUCGAUGCAUUCUUGUACAAGUAAUUCAAUUCCCUUCCCUCUCGUCGUUCGAGUACUAAUCCUUUGACUUUCGCACCUGGA